GUCCCAACAUCAUAAUGUAGAAUUCUAAAUUCAAAAUUUAACUGUAAAACUUUAAUCUCCAGUAAACUAUCCUUUUACAGCGUCAACUUUCAGCGCGCGCGUACACACAUGUAUACACACACAUGCAAGCAUGCACGCAUGCACACACGUUAAACAUAUCCUAGUCUACUCAAUAGGAAAAAAUUAAUAGCUAUGUACAUUAAGUAUUGAUAACCUGUCACAGACCAAUUGAUGUUGAUGAAGUUUUAUGCAUCUGUGAUGCUGAUCCAUAGCAGUUUACUACUUUAUGUUUUAAAGUCCUUUGAAAAGCUACACGAGCUAAAAUCUUCUACAAAUUAUGUCAGCCGCCUUUAAAAAGUUACACAAGCUAAAAUCUUCUCCAAAUUAGGUCAAUCUCCAGUAUUUUCUCUAUCUAGUGAUAGACAUGGCUAAUCUAAUCUUAUGUUUUUUACUUUUUAUUCAGGUAAAUGCAAUCUCUACCAAGGGAAGUGGAUUAAGGAACCAGCUGGGACACUGUACAAAAAUGACAACUGUCCUUUUAUGACACAGAUGCAGAAUUGUCAGGGAAAUGGGAGACCGGACAAGGAGUAUGAGAACUAUAGGUGGAAGCCUAACCAGUGUGACCUCCCACAUUUCAGUCCCAGGAAAUUCUUGGAGUUGAUGAGGGACAAGACUUUGGCUUUCAUCGGGGAUUCAGUUUCUCGAAAUCAGUUUGAGUCAUUGCUUUGUAUCCUAUGGCAGGAAGAAGCUCCAAAGAACCGAGGUAACCGUCGGAUGCAGCGAUGGCAAUUCAGAUCGACAAAUACAAUGAUCAUCCGCAUAUGGUCCUCAUGGCUUGUACACACUGACCCUGAAGCAUUCCAGUUUUCCCCAAAGGGAGUCACCAAAUUAUUUCUCGAUAUUCCUGACAAAACCUUCAUGGAAUUUCUCCCAACCUUUGAUGUAGUUGUUCUUUCCUCUGGACAUUGGUUUGCAAAACAGUCUGUUUAUGUACUCAACAACAGUAUUCUCGGUGGACAACUCUGGUGGCCUCAAGAGGCUGGAGAUAUGAAAAUUAAUAGUCUUGAAGCCUACGCAAUCUCGGUCGAGACAGCUGUGACUGCAAUUUCAAACCACCCAAAUUUUACAGGCCUUGUGAUUCUUCGAUCAUACUCUCCGGAUCACUACGAGGGUGGGGCUUGGAACACAGGUGGAUCAUGCACGGGUAAAACAAUGCCAGUGAAUGAAAUGGUUAGAAAUGGGUUUACUGAUAUUAUGCAUGAGAAGCAGAUAACAGGUUUCCAACAGGCGGUCAAAAAGUCAGAAAAUAGCCACUCCAAAUUGAGGUUGAUGGAUAUAACGGAGAUGUUUGGGUACCGACCUGAUGGACAUCCGGGGCCGUAUAGGAGUCCGGACCCGAACAAGAUUAUAGAGAGGGGGCCAAAUGGUGAACCACCACCGCAGGAUUGCUUGCACUGGUGCAUGCCGGGGCCAAUUGAUACUUGGAAUGAAAUUGUUUUAGAGAUCAUUAGGAGGGAAUUUGAGGGAGCAUGAGACUGAUUGCAAGUUUGCACCUGUCAUAUGGUAUGUAUAUAUAUACGAGGAUAAUUUACUGUUACGGCAACCACAUCAUGCCUACGAUAUGAAAGAGGUGGUACAGAGGUACGUAGAGUCGCAGGAUGACGGGGUUCUUGCAUUUUCGCCAUCACUUGAGUUUUUAAGGCUCCACAGUAGAUUUUACAUUUUAUUUAGACAUUAGAGUUUCUUUCUCUUACUGUAAAGUUAGUGUGCCUUAGUAUGAUUCUAGUUGAUUCAUAUUGAUAUUUUUAUUAUUCUAGU